rnacentral:rRNA from 1 species
UACAGAGGCCUCGAGCGUUAGGCGGAAUCACUGGGCUUAAAGCGUGUGUAGGCGGACUUCUAAGUACCUUGUGAAAUCCCACAGCUUAACUGUGGAACUGCUUGGUAUACUGGUUGUCUUGAGGUACCUAGGGGCGAGCGGAACAAGUGGUGGAGCGGUGAAAUGCGUAGAUAUCACUUGGAACGCCAACGGUGAAAACAGCUCGCUGGGGGUAUCCUGACGCUGAGACGACGAAAGCCAGGGGAGCAAAGCGGG